rnacentral:rRNA from 1 species
AACGAACGCUGGCGGCAGGCCUAACACAUGCAAGUCGAGCGAACCCUUCGGGGUUAGCGGCGGACGGGUGAGUAACGCGUGGGAACGUGCCCUUUGCUACGGAAUAGCCCCCGGGAAACUGGGAGUAAUACCGUAUGUGCCCUUCGGGGGAAAGAUUUAUCGGCAAAGGAUCGGCCCGCGUUGGAUUAGGUAGUUGGUGGGGUAAUGGCCUACCAAGCCGACGAUCCAUAGCUGGUUUGAGAGGAUGAUCAGCCACACUGGGACUGAGACACGGCCCAGACUCCUACGGGAGGCAGCAGUGGGGAAUCUUAGACAAUGGGCGCAAGCCUGAUCUAGCCAUGUCGCGUGAUCGAUGAAGGCCUUAGGGUUGUAAAGAUCUUUCAGUGGGGAAGAUAAUGACUGUACCCACAGAAGAAGCCCCGGCUAACUCCGUG